GAUGAACGCUGGCGGCGUGCCUAAUACAUGCAAGUCGAGCGAACAGAUGGGGAGCUUGCUCCUCUGACGUUAGCGGCGGACGGGUGAGUAACACGUGGAUAACCUACCUAUAGGACUGGGAUAACUUCGGGAAACCGGAGCUAAUACCGGAUAAUAUAUUGAACCGCCUGGUUCAAUAGUGAAAGACGGUUUUGCUGUCACUUAUAGAUGGAUCCGCGCCGCAUUAGCUAGUUGGUAAGGUAACGGCUUACCAAGGCAACGAUGCGUAGCCGACCUGAGAGGGUGAUCGGCCACACUGGAACUGAGACACGGUCCAGACUCCUACGGGAGGCAGCAGUAGGGAAUCUUCCGCAAUGGGCGAAAGCCUGACGGAGCAACGCCGCGUGAGUGAUGAAGGUCUUCGGAUCGUAAAACUCUGUUAUUAGGGAAGAACAAAUGUGUAAGUAACUAUGCACGUCUUGACGGUACCUAAUCAGAAAGCCCCGGCUAACUACGUG
rnacentral:rRNA from 1 species